GAGAGUGAACGAGAGAGAGAGAGAGAGCGCGCAUUAGCCUGAACAUAUGUGAAUCUGUGUGAGUGCUUUCUGACUGUACUUUGGCGCCCAAAAUUAUCAAACGCCCAAAGCUAGUUGAUUCGAUUAGGGCUCAAAUUUUACGUUGCAAAAAGGCCCC